GAUGAACGCUAGCGGCAGGCUUAAUACAUGCAAGUCGUGGGGCAGCAUGAAUGUAGCAAUACAUUUGAUGGCGACCGGCAAACGGGUGCGGAACACGUACACAACCUUCCUUUUAGUGGGGAAUAGCCCAGAGAAAUUUGGAUUAAUACCCCAUAAUAUAUAGAGAUGGCAUCAUCUUAAUAUUAAAGCUUCGGCGCUAGAAGAUGGGUGUGCGGCUGAUUAGGUAGUUGGCGGGGUAACGGCCCACCAAGCCUACGAUCAGUAGCUGAUGUGAGAGCAUGAUCAGCCACACGGGCACUGAGACACGGGCCCGACUCCUACGGGAGGCAGCAGUAAGGAAUAUUGGACAAUGGACGCAAGUCUGAUCCAGCCAUGCCGCGUGAAGGAUUAAGGUCCUCUGGAUUGUAAACUUCUUUUAUUUGGGACGAAAAAAGAUCAUUCUUGAUCUCUUGACGGUACCAGAUGAAUAAGCACCGGCUAACUACGUGCCAGCAGCCGCGGUAAUAC
rnacentral:rRNA from 1 species